GCACAGCUCCUGAGUUUAAGAAGUGACCUAAAUGGCGCCAAGCGGAAUCUCUCUCGAACUUCCAGGUCGCUCUCACGGUUGACCAACACAAGCACUAGCAAUUUGGAAGAUUUGCGACGCCGACUGGCACAAGUGCAGAAUCUAAAUGCCACAUUAAAUCUAAGGAUCCAGGCAUUGGAGACAAGAUUUGAAGGACUCGUACGA
rnacentral:sRNA from 1 species